ensembl:lncRNA
ACAUAGAGAUAGACUUGGUAUUACUUUCCUCCUUGUUUCAGACUGCUCAAAUAACAAUAGCAGCAGAGUGGAAGUGCCCGUUGUGCCAAAAACAAUAAAGUGGAUACACAGAGACUGAUUAUUCUUGGCAACAAAUAGGCUGUAAUAUGAAGUAUUUUUAGAUUUGGAUUCCUUUCAUUGGAUGUGCAAAGGAUAAAACUCCUUGGAGCAAGUUCCCAGUCUUCUCAUCCCCUUUCUGGAAAAGUGCAAUUCUUGGAAGUAAGAUUUCGGUCAGAUAACAAAUUCAUUUUAUCUGAGGAAAAUAACUUGGUGAAGCUGUGUGCAAAUCCUGCUUUUUUGGUGAGCUGGAACUGAAUGAAAAAGAAAGCCCAGCUAAGCUGUGCUGGGGAGGUGAUCCAGGUUGGAGAGCUCCUUCCUGCCUGGCUCAGAGGGCUGGAUAAUUUCAGUUUUCCAGUUGACAAGUAAGAAUUUCCAACCACAAGCCCCAGUGAUUCACCUCUCAACUUUGUGUCAUGCUUGCUGCUUGAUCUUUCCAAGAAAAUGUGGGCUUUUUCAUUUGAGGAAAGGGCUGCAUGUCCCGGCUGAACUGACAGAGCCCUCCAAUCAUCAGCCAGGACUAAAGGAAUCGUUUCUUUGUUCUCUGAGCCAUGUUUCUGGCACUUCUCUAUUGACCCUUCCUUUCCCGUUGCAUAAACCUUAUCUUCGCUCACAAGUCCUUCCUCAAGACCAGUGCUUCUUAUCAUCUCCUGUCCACCACCCACCAUCCUGUUGUCACAUUUUCCAGCAAACACUUUGAGUGUCAGCCCAUGGUCAGCACUACUGUGGGGAGCUCCCCAAAGUCACCUCCGUGAGUCUCUUGGUAAGCCAUCCUUGGACAACAGCCACACCAGGCUGAGCCCACUGCCUCAGGUGUGCAGGAUGGUUUGUCCUUGUACUCCUCUAUUAGUCAAUGCUUGCCUGUUCUGGUGCUAUAUUUAAAUGGUGAACUACUUGGAGCACACCCUGUCCUUUCAUUUUGUGAUUGCACAGUGUCUCAUAUAAUGGGGUAUGGCUUCGUGACUUGUGCUGCUAGGAAUGGACGCAGAGCAAAUAAAUAAUAUUAAUGCUAAUAAGAGUCUUUCCUUACUUCCUGCUUUUGUCUUCCUUCUCUUUGUUUCUUUCAUCUUCACUGUUAUAUUAGUAUUUAUAUUACUUAAAUAAAAGAACUACUCAAACACAGCUUUUUUUUUAACUUCCCAAGAGAACAUUCACUUCUUUGUCCAAAGUUACAAAACCUGAAUAUUGAAUCAACCAACAUGGAAGCUGGUUUUAAUCAAAUAUUUUACCUUGGUAGACGCUGCUGCUGUUUAGGAAAAUAAUCCAUUUCUGUCUCAGCAGAAGCCUGUAUUCUCUUUUGAAUCCAAUCCUUGAUUCAUUUGAUUUUCUGCUUAGUUUGAUCAGUACCUCAAAAAACAGCUCUUUUGUAUUAAAUAAUAAAGUAGCUUACACCUUUCUGUUUGAUCACUUUAAGAACCGCUGCUGAAUAAUUUACUGGAAAACAUCCUCACUUUUCCACAGACACAUAACUAGACGUGGCAUGCAAAAUAUAGGAUAUUUACAGCUACGGCUGGCUAAUUUUUGUAUUUUUUCCUGCAAACAGUAGAUUUAUUUUUGUGUUUUAGUCAUCCCCUAGCUAUUUCUAUAUCUGAGAAAAAAAUGUGCUAAGUAGUUUCAGAUAGACACUUGGAUUCUGAAGUGUGUGAGAGAGAAAAUAUCUGUAUUUUACGUGACAGUCUGGUCAGUGAUAUCAACGUAGCAGAAGACUCAUAUGUAAUUACUCUUUUUGGCAUGCUGAACCUGAUCCCAGCUUCCCUGGAAAAUGCUCUGAGCAGCAGCUGACCACAAUGUUCUUCUGAAGUCUUCCUCAGGAUGGGAUAUUGUAAAAUCCUUUACUAAUUUUACUGUUGUUUAUUAUAGCAAGAUAUACAAUUAUAAUAAAGCUCAACUUUU